rnacentral:lncRNA from 1 species
AGUCCCCUCUAGCACACUGGGGAAUGCAUGCCAUGCCUUUGCCAACACGGUCAUAAGAUAAAAUGGCUUUAAGUUAGAGAAAGUAGCAAAAAGUCAUCAGCCUUACUCUCUUCCACAGUCAUCAAAAUUCAGUGGUAAGACAGAAGUCAAAUUGAGGUGCAACAGCUCAGGAUGCAGUGGAUGACCUUGGCAUCUUUGAUGUCUGAAAAAGCUCUGAGCCCUCCGCAGCACCUACUUCAGCUGCCUUCAUGGCCAUUGGAAUAAAUUGUUUUCAUCCUCUCCUUCUACCUAGGGAAGACUUCAUGUGCUUGGAAUUGACAUCCCUUGAACUCACUGGUUUGAAGCCUGUUGGUUAUCUUCAAUCUGUCUACCAUUAUGGUUUUGCCAGGGUGUGGCCACUGUGCAUGCUACAACUUUUUGGAGCCACAGAUGAUGAAACAGCCCCUGAGAGGAAAUGACCUGGGCACAAACCGAAUCCUCUAAACUCCACCUUUAGCAUUCUCCUGGAUUCAGCAUCUAGAAGUUUCUAAGGAUUCAAAUGCUUUAGGGGUAAAGACCCAGGAUCUAGAUGAAGGAAUGACAUUUUUCAUUGUAACCAAAUAGUCAAACACUGUGUCAAAGCAACCAGAUACUGUGGCCAGAGAAACAGCAUGGUUGGUUUCCUUCUAUAGAUUCGGCCCCUUUUUCUGGAAUAUCUCCAAUCUUUGACUUCCUGAUUAUAAAAUUCCUGGAUGAAAAAGUCCCCUCCACUGUAUUGGGUUUUCUGACUGUUGCCAAGAAAAUGCUCACCUUUGUUUUUUGGAAUAAAAUGUUGAAUCCCAC